CUCAGCUUGGAUGUCGGGUCAGGCUGUCUGCGCUCUGUGCACCUUAUCGAUAAAAUAUUAGACCUGCCCACUCACAGGUUUCUGCAGGUCGAAUGAGCUAAUGUGACAGCCUGUUAGGAGGCCCAGGGAGAGUAAUUUGUAACGGAUCCCCAGGACCUGCUUGGUGUCAGCCCCUGUGCGGCUCUACCUGGAGGGUCUGGGAGCUAGUGGUGUGUCUUGCUGAGAGGUGCUGUGGGUGAAGGUAGUCAAGGUAAGUCAUCUUCUUGGACAUUUCCAAGACACAAGAUCCAGAGGCCUGACUGCUCCAUCCCAAGAGCCAGGAGGUCCUCGGUAGAAGGGGCGACACACGAACACACAGCGUCUACCGAGUAUGCCAGCUGGGAGACAAGUCACGACCCUCUGGGCAGCCUGAAGGAUCCUGGGCUCCAAUAAAAGUGGGAACUGGAUGAGGAAGAAUCAAGCCCAUGCUUUUCAUCUCUUGUCAUUUGAUCUGGGAAAGCUCCCAAGCCUAUGGAAGGCAGCGGGAUCAGCAGAGGCGGCUCUGCCGAGGUGCUCAGUGUCGGAGCUCAGAUGGAUGCCCACCUGCAGACUCUCUGUUCAGUACUUCAUCCACAUCGCAUGCCAGGCCUCCCUGUCCCUCACCAUCUCCUGGAGUUUGUCCAAGUCUCCUCCCAACUGGCAGGGAACUGAGAAGUCGGCACAGAGAUUGCUGGUCCGGCUGUAGCAGGUGAGCGGGAAGCCUCGCCGCUGGGCGUGUGCUGGCGACACUGUCCACCAGGGGCCUUCCUUCCCUGCCAUGCGUCUCCCUGUCUCCCACAUGGUUUCUUUCCCUCUGCCCUGCACGACACUCUUCUCAUUUUAUGUGUCAGUUCCAUGAUUCCAAAUCCCACCAGGGGCUGAUGACACCUGGGGCCACGUCACCCCAGCCAUAUCCACAUCUCCCCUGCCUCUCCCACUGUCUCUGGCUGCGUGAUCCUGCCACCCCCCCUCCACUGAGGGCCAGGGUCUCAUUCCCCUCCCCGCAAUGACCCCAGAAUGACUCUGGCCUGCGUGACUCCCUUGUUACCAGUAGAUCCUGUGGAUCACAUGACUUGAGACAAGGUCAGAAGAGGCCAAGCAGCCUCCAUCUGGUCCCUUGGAAUAGUCACUUUCAGACACUCUCUUGGGACAUCCUUCUUGGAACUCCGUCACCAUCUGUGGGAGACCGAAGGCCCACGGAGGCCCGAGAGGUAGGUGCUCAGAUGGACCAGCUCUGCUGAGGCAUUCAGUCCAGGUGCCAGGGAGGUACUUUCAGUGAAUCUCAGCUCCAAUCAUUCAGAUCGCCCCCAUAUUCUGAGUCUUUCCAGCUGAGGUUUCAGACCUUGCAGAACAGACACAAGCCAUCUGCACUGCUUUCCAUCUGAGGUCCUGCUCCACCACUGUGCAUGAUACAGUGGCUGUUUUAUACCACAUUUGGAGUGGCUGGUCACAGAUAACUGAGAUGGUCUCUAUGUCUAUAUCUUGAGGCCAAGCUUUCCUUCUGAGCUUCUGAUGUAUACAUCCUACUGCCUGGUGGACUUUUCUGAGGUUCCAAAGCACCUGGAAUCUUCCAUAGGUGCAUUAGACCAAAACACCCUAGGCUGAAGCAUCCACAUUUGAAAGCCCUGGUGAUAACCUGAGUAAAAUUGGACCAAGUGAGGCCCCAAGACCAACAGACAGGAGGAGCAAGCAUGGAGUCCAGUUCCACCAGCCCGUUUACAAGCUCACCCUGACCCUUGUGGCCCGCAAGGACAUUCGCUGGAGAUUGGCCACAGGGAAGUGUUUGGCCAUGGAAGGAAGCAAUAGACAAGACUGUACUUGGCUGAAGGCAUGAUCUUGGCCUGUGGGUACUGCCUUCCCACCACUGGAUUAGCCAUCUGCUGGGACAGCGUGGAGAAGAUUUCAGCCAGGAGAAGGAGGCUGGGUUUGAAAGGACAUGGCUGGGGCAGCUAGAGUCCCUCAGCACUAGGGAGUGCUGAGCUGCCGUGGGUCACUGAGGCCUGGAAGCUCUACUCCCCUCCGCUUCCUGCGUCGUCUGCUUCUCUGGCCCAUGACUCAUUUUUACCUGUGACCUAGUUCCAGCCAACAAGGUUGAAUGAAGCCUCAGAAGGGAGCCUCCUUGGACCUGGUGGCAACCAACACCUGGCCAGCAGACCGGGUGGAGUUCUGCUGAUUGUAGGAGUCAACUUUACAGAUGUGUGUCUCUGUCUCUGACUUUCGCACGCACAGUAGGACGACCAGCCAUCCGGAGGACCCUCUCAGGGGAUGGAGGUCUGAGUCAGAAGGCUGUGCCCCACGGUGGCCCUCUGCACUCCCUUGUGUCCUACUGUGUGUUCCUCACUGUGUGUGUGUGUGUGGUAGAGUCUUUUCCUUCCGAGUGUGUGGUUGAUGCUCCUCCCAGCCCCUUGAGGUGGUCGAGGCCCUGUGACGUGCUCUGUGAGGAACGUGAGCAGGGUGAUGCCUGCCACAUCCUGAAGGGGGCGCUGAAUUGCCUGUGUGAGCCUCACCAGCGCAGAGGAGGGGCAAGGCUGAGCCACGCCCUGGAAGGCACCCAGUCCUCCCAGGGUAAUCUCGUGAGCCAGAAAUAAACCUGUCCUGUUUUUCAACCUUUUACUUUCAACACUUUGUGAUAUUACAGGAAGCUGUAUAGUUUGAUUUUUUUUUUAAAGGACAAUCUUUGUCUUUCAAUUGGAGUAGUCAAUUCAUUUGCAUUUAUUCUUAUUACUGAUUUGUUAGGGUUUAAAUCUACCAUGGUACCCUGGGUUUUUUACUUGUCCCACCUAUUCUGCAUUCCCUGUUAUUUCCUUUCUUGUUUUCUAUUGGAUUAAUCAAGUAAAUGCUAUUAUUUCAUUUCCUUCAUCAUAAGCUUAUUAGUUAAACUCUCUUACUGUUCUUUUCAUAGUUAUCCUACUAGAAGUUGCAACAUUCUUCCUUGGUUUAUUAUACAUUAAUAUAAAGGAAAUAUAAUACUUUUCCUACUCCCCAGGCAGUGCCAGCAAUUCAGAAAAGUGAGUGCUUUUACUAUCCUACUUGCCUUGAUAAUAACUUUUAAUAUGAUCUAUUUCAAUUUAUAACAUUUAAUGCAAUUACUAACACAUAAAUGUAUUUAAAAAUAGGAUCUUUCUGAACAUCUUGUUCCACAGUGUGCUCUCUUCAUUCAGAAAUAUAUUGCAGAUGUUCGAGAUCUAUCAUAUCCUUUUGAAAGGUUGUCUAGUCUUCCAUUGCAUAGAGGUGCCUCACUGACGAAGGGAAUCCCUCCUUGAUAGACAUUUAUUCUGUGUAAUUUAGUAUAAAGCAAGAGUUUUUAAACACAGGAAUUAUGUUGUAUUUGAUCUAUUAGACUUCAAUCAAUGCUGUUGCAAACAAGACUUUAAAUAUCAAUUUAGAAUGCAAUACAAUAAGAGGUUACCUUGUGAAAACUGGGAAUAUGCCCGACAGGAUGAAUGAAUCAAACAAAACACAAUGAAACACUGUCCUCAUAUUAAGUGAAUGGGCCCCUGUGGCCUGGGAUGAAAUUUCCAGUGGAAUGAUGCCUCCUGAAAAUUGUUUGAUGACCCAAAAGAAGAUGUGGUGGUGAUGACACAGGCUGAAGGUGAAGAGGAAGAGACUAUUGUACAAAAUACAUGGAUGGGAAAAAAGUCAUAUUUCUAAAUUAUUAUUUCACAGAAGAUGUUUCAAAAGAUCUAACUUAAUUAAGAAAGUAAGGAAUUCCUUGGCAGUCCAGUGGUUAGACUUCCACAGUCGUGUCAGAUUCGUGAUCUCUGAAGAAGAUUUAGCUUUGGGACCGGGGACCAGGCUUGAUCACUCAAUAGCUUUUGAGUAGCAGAGUUUUAUUAAAGUAAGAAAAGGGACAGAGGAAGCUUCUGACAUGGACACGGAAGGGGGACGGAGAAUGCCCCCCUCACUAGUCUUUUCAAGGCUUUAUACAUUUUUUUCAGAUCCACUCCCCCAACAUACAUCUUAAAUUAACAAGAUUAGAAUGAACAAUAGACAGACCUUACCAGACCGG